rnacentral:misc_RNA from 1 species
UCCUGUUGAGCAGCAGCACCGCUGCUGCUGCUGCAAUUGUUGGUAUCAAUAUUAAAUUGGUACUGUCCGUGUCUGCCAGUGCGUCGUUCGCUGGCUAGUGAUUAUCGUUGUACAUAUAUACACAAGUACCAAAUUUGCCAUAAUCGAAUAACAAGCCGAAUUUCAGUCCCCGGGAAGGGCAGCUAGAAGGGCAGUCCCCGGGUCUCGCGCGGUGUAUCGAUAAAAAGUGUAGGUAGGUACAAGCACAUAAGUAUAUAGGUGUACUUAUAAGUUUAUACACGCAAGUCGGGAUUGUCGGGAAUGCCAGUGUCGUGAGUCGUCGUGAGUGUCAUUGCUGCUGACGUGGGAGUUUUUGUUCCUGCAACAGCUCGGGUCUUUCGACGUCCCGGAGGAACAGGCUAUCGGAUCGCAAGGGACAAACGCCAACAACAACAACAAUAACAAAAGGAAAUCAACGAGAAAGACGACAGCAGGUGCGAGGUAGCCGAGCCAUAUACAUUAACGAGGCACGGUGGUCGCGUCGCUAGUGGUGUUUCGCUACCAGGAGGAGGCUAUCGUGCGGGGCCCGGGGAUCUUGCCCGGAUGUGGUGAUGUGGUCGAGUCCCGCGGAGGGGGACCCGGGUCCUCGCGGCAAAUCGUGAGGAGAGGCCCUAGGCAGGCUGGCCCGAGGUCCAGAGCUUCUCUCCGAAGACGAGGAGGAGGCCAGGGAAUGGUGCAGUGAGCCGCCGCUCUUCUUCGACUCCGAGGAAGAGGAGCAGCAGUCGUCACGGCGCCCGAUGUCGCGGCAGCACCAACGCGACGAGCAACAGUACCUCGUCGAGCACCCGCGCGAGGCCUUGCUCCGGGGUGAGAGCCGCGACCACCACCACCACCACUACAACCGGGACCUCGAGCUGGUAGGCAGCGGCCGGGAUUACCGGGACCUCGAGCCACCGCCGCCCCGCCGACCGGCCGCUCACCACCGCCACCGGCCCCUACCGAGGGACCCCGAGUACGACUACGACUACGAGCCACCCCGUCCCGCUGCCCGACGCUCCAGUCCCACCUCGGGACACCAGAGCGCCGUCUCGGCCGCCGCCGCCGCUGCCUCGUCCUCCAUCACCAACAACCAGGGCUCGGCCGACUCGAACUAUUCACAGCCGAGCUCGGAUCUCUCGCUGGACGAAGAGAAGGAGAGCUUGCGCCGCGAGAAGGAGAAGCAGGCCCUCAAUCAGCUCGACAAGGCCAGGACGAAGCCGGUGGCGUUUGCGGUGCGAACGAAUGUCAGCUACGACGGAUCCAUCGACGACGACUCGCCGGUCCACGGGUCAGCCAUCAGCUUCGAAGUCAGGGACUUUCUCCACAUCAAGGAAAAGUACGACAACAACUGGUGGAUCGGGAGGCUGGUGAAGGAGGGAUGCGAGGUCGGCUUCAUCCCGUCGCCGAUAAAGCUGGAGGCCCUGAGGGCCCAGGCGAGCGCCGCACGCGGUACCAAGGGCCUCUAUUCGAGCGCACGCGGAGGGUCUUCGGGGAACCUUGGUGAGAGCGGUAUGCCCUCACGAGGUUCCACACCGCCCACACCAGGCGAUGACAACGACAGCGUGGGCAACAUCCGCACGGGCAGAACGACGCUCACGACUCCUCCAGCCAAGGAGAAGCGGAAGAACUUUUUCAAGAAGCCGGAGACGGCGACACCCUACGACGUGGUCCCUUCGAUGAGGCCCGUCGUGUUAGUGGGACCAUCCUUAAAAGGUUACGAAGUUACUGACAUGAUGCAGAAGGCGCUUUUUGAUUUUUUGAAACAUAGAUUCGAGGGCAGAAUCAUAAUAACGAGGGUGAUGGCGGAUAUAUCCCUGGCCAAGAGGUCACUGCUGAACAAUCCAACCAGACGGGCAAUUAUGGAGCGCUCGACGAGUAGGAGUAGCUGCUUGGCCGAGGUGCAGGCCGAGAUCGAGAGGAUCUUCGAGCUCGCCAGGACGCUUCAGCUGGUCGUUCUGGACUGCGACACGAUAAACCACCCGUCGCAGUUGGCCAAGACGAGCCUGGCCCCGAUAAUCGUGUACCUGAAGAUCUCCUCGCCCAAAGUUCUGCACAGGCUGAUAAAGUCACGGGGUAAGUCCCAGGCCCGUCACUUGAACGUCCAAAUGGUCGCGGCGGAGAAACUGUCGCAGUGCCCGUCGGAGAUGUUCGACGUCGUGUUGGACGAGAACCAACUCGACGAGGCUUGCGAACACGUGAACGAGUACCUCGAGGCUUACUGGCGGGCCACCCAUCCACCGACCAGUCCCGCGGUCCCCCGGCCCAUGCCAUCCGCCCCCGACGCACCUGUUGGCGAUGGAAUGCCACCGCGCGUCACCUCAGCCACGGAGCCACUGGCUGCCACGGGGAUCAUCAGAAAAGAGGGCAGGGUCACUGUGAGUCAGGAGCCCGACUUUUGAGCAUCCCAACUAUAACUCGACACGAUUGAGAUUUUCCCGCUACUCUUGGCUCCACUCUUCUCCCUCUCGUAUGCCAAUGACAACGGAGACGAUUUUUGCGGACCAAUGUGUACUUGAUUGAUACUGUCUUCCGCCAGUGCUUCAAGAUUUUCUUUCUGUCCCGUCAACUUUUUGCUUGGCCCAAGCGUCCCACGAGACCGAAGACGGAAACAACUAAUGGGUAGAUGUAGAGUUUUCAGGUUUCUUAUUAGGAUUUUUAAGACGAUUGGCUAGACCCGGUCACGUGCGCGUGUUCGAGGCGGAGGCGGCGGCCCUUACGGACACCACGGGGGCUCGAGGCGCUCGCGCCUGGAGCGCUCCGACCGUGCCGAGCACUAC